GACAGAGGGUGCAAACGUUGUUCGGAAUCACUGGGCGUAAAGGGCGUGUAGACGGUCAGGUAAGUGGGAUGUGAAAGCCCUCGGCUCACCCGAGGAUCUGCAUCUCAAACUGCCUGGCUUGAGUAUGGGAGAGGAUGAGGGAAUUCCUGGUGUAGCGGUGAAAUGCGCAGAUAUCAGGAGGAACACCGGUGGCGAAGGCGGUUCUCUGGGCCUGUACUGACGCUGAGGAACGAAAGCGUGGGGAGCGAACAGG
rnacentral:rRNA from 1 species